rnacentral:rRNA from 1 species
AGCGGCGAACGGGUGAGGAACACGUGAGGAAUCUGCCUUCAACACUGGGAUAACUCCGGGAAACCGGGGCUAAUACCGGAUACGAGCCUUGAUCGCAUGAUCGAGGCUGGAAAGUUUUUCGGUUGAAGAUGACCUCGCGGCCUAUCAGCUUGUUGGUGAGGUAAUGGCUCACCAAGGCGACGACGGGUAGCCGGCCUGAGAGGGCGACCGGCCACACUGGGACUGAGACGCGGCCCAGACUCCUACGGGAGGCAGCAGUGGGGAAUAUUGGGCAAUGGAGGAAACUCUGACCCAGCGACGCCGCGUGCGGGAUGAAGGCCUUCGGGUUGUAAACCGCUUUCAGUAGGGAAGAAGCGAAAGUGACGGUACCUACAGAAGAAGCACCGGCUAACUAUGUGCCAGCAGCCGCGGUAAUACAUAGGGUGCAAGCGUUGUCCGGAAUUAUUGGGCGUAAAGAGCUCGUAGGUGGUUUGAUACGUCGGGUGUGAAAUUCAGGGGCUCAACCCCUGACCUGCAUUCGAUACGGUCAAGCUAGAGUUUGGUAGGGGAGACUGGAAUUCCUGGUGUAGCGGUGGAAUGCGCAGAUAUCAGGAGGAACACCGAUGGCGAAGGCAGGUCUCUGGGCCAAUACUGACACUGAGGAGCGGAAGCGUGGGGAGCGAACAGGAUUAGAUACCCUGGUAGUCCACGCCGUAAACGG